rnacentral:rRNA from 1 species
UACAGGGGGUGCAAACGUUGCUCGGAAUCAUUGGGCGUAAAGCGCACGUAGGCGGUUCGUUAUGUCGGAUGUGAAAGCCCUUGGCUUAACCGAGGAGGGUCAUUGGAAACUGGGGGACUUGAGUACAGAAGAGGAAAGCGGAAUUCCACGUGUAGCGGUGAAAUGCGUAGAGAUGUGGAGGAACACCAGUGGCGAAGGCGGCUUUCUGGUCUGUAACUGACGCUGAGGCGCGAAAGCGUGGGGAGCAACAGG